CUGCGCGUGCUUACCAUGCAAGUUCGAACGAUGUAAGCCCUGCUUGCAGGGUGGAUUAGUGGCGCACGGGUGAGUAAUGAAUAGAUAAUCUGCCUUUUAGUGGGGGACAACAGUUGGAAACGACUGCUAAUACCCCAUACUCCUUUUGAACAUAAGUUCAAUCGGGAAAGUUUUUCGCUAAAAGAUGAGUCUAUUUCCCAUCAGCUAGUUGGUAAGGUAAGAGCUUACCAAGGCUAUGACGGGUAGCUGGUCUUAGAGGACGAUCAGCCACACUGGAACUGAGACACGGUCCAGACUCCUACGGGAGGCAGCAGUGGGGAAUAUUGCACAAUGGAGGAAACUCUGAUGCAGCAACGCCGCGUGGAGGAUGACGCAUUUCGGUGUGUAAACUCCUUUUAUUAAGGAAGAAAUUUGACGGUACUUAAUGAAUAANCACCGGCUAACUCCGUGCCAGCAGCCGCGGUAAUACGGAGGGUGCAAGCGUUACUCNNAAUUACUGGGCGUNNAGGACNCNUANGCNGCCUGNU
rnacentral:rRNA from 1 species